rnacentral:rRNA from 1 species
UACGAAGGGGGCUAGCGUUGCUCGGAAUCACUGGGCGUAAAGGGUGCGUAGGUGGAUAUUUAAGUCAGGGGUGAAAUCCUGGAGCUCAACUCCAGAACUGCCUUUGAUACUGAGUAUCUUGAGUUCGGGAGAGGUAAGUGGAACUGCGAGUGUAGAGGUGAAAUUCGUAGAUAUUCGCAAGAACACCAGUGGCGAAGGCGGCUUACUGGCCCGAUACUGACACUGAGGCACGAAAGCGUGGGGAGCAAACAGGG